UCAGAUCUUCUCUGAAUCUCACUUCGAUGCCUCCGUUAACGGUUUCUGUGGUUGUUCCCAACCCAUAAAUCUUUAACCGGUGGGCUAAAGAUCUUGGUUUUACUAAACCAUUCUCUGUUCUUUCCCAGAGCUUAAAGAACACAUCAUUUCAGAACUGAAGUCCACGGCAGAGAAGAACAAGCUAAGAAAGUUUGAGUACAUCAAAGCGGUGGCGGUGGAG